GUGCCAGCAGCCGCGGUAAUACGUAGGGCGCAAGCGUUGUCCGGAAUUAUUGGGCGUAAAGAGCUCGUAGGCGGUUUGUCGCGUCUGCUGUGAAAACGCGAGGCUCAACCUCGCGCCUGCAGUGGGUACGGGCAGACUAGAGUGCGGUAGGGGAGACUGGAAUUCCUGGUGUAGCGGUGGAAUGCGCAGAUAUCAGGAGGAACACCGGUGGCGAAGGCGGGUCUCUGGGCCGUUACUGACGCUGAGGAGCGAAAGCAUGGGGAGCGAACAGGAUUAGAUACCCUGGUAGUCC
rnacentral:rRNA from 1 species